UGGGGAAUAUUUCACAAUGGGGGAAACCCUGAUGCAGCGACGCCGCGUGAGCGAAGAAGUAUUUCGGUAUGUAAAGCUCUAUCAGCAGGGAAGAAAAUGACGGUACCUGACUAAGAAGCCCCGGCUAACUACGUGCC
rnacentral:rRNA from 1 species